GCUACUGUGUCAUAUGUGCUAGGUGGUAGAGCACAUAUGACAUAUGUGCUAGGUGGUAGAGAAGAGAGAGAGAAUAUCUACACUGAGUGUUCUGACCUGUGAACAUCUGAAUGAUUUCUAGCCUAACAUU